AGUGAAAAGCAAACCUAUUGUGAAAUAGGGACGCAAAGCCAAGGGACUUGUACUACUCAAGUUAGCCGGUUGCCGC
rnacentral:ncRNA from 1 species